AGGGCCUUUUGCGGUCGCCCACUGCUCCCUUGCGGACAGUGUGCUUGCGGCCGCGGGCCCUUUUUUUGCUGGAAAGCCGGCUCUUCCCGCAAGGGCGGGGCCGGAUUUUGACCAGCACUUUUACUUUGAAAAAAUUAGAGUGUUCAAAGCAGGCCGUUACGGCUUGAAUAUCUUAGCAUGGAAUAAUAGAAUAGGACUUUGGUUCUAUUUUGUUGGUUUCUAGGACUAGAGUA
rnacentral:rRNA from 1 species